rnacentral:lncRNA from 1 species
CUUUUUCUCUCUGUUAACUUGGAAGGGGGAGAAUUUUUCUGUACCCACCCUGAAGCAAUCAAACAAAAAAGAUUUUGGAGAAAAGAGAAGGGGAAGAAGAAUGAACAACUGAGAGUUUUUCAGUACUGCUGUGUGCCCUGUGUGAGCUCACUACCAUCUCUAGGAAUUGCAGCAAUGAUAUCCUUAAGGCAUGAAAGUUUAUCCUUUCACCAGAGACUACAAUUAAUAUUUCAAGGCUGAAUUAGAUCUGCUCACCUAAAAUGGAACAGAAGGCCGCAAGGAAAACAUUGUCAGGAGAAGGGUGAUCUCUGCACAAACUGGCUCCCCUUCGCCUUCCACCAAGAGUGGAAGCAGCCUGAGACACCCAGUCUUCUAACCAGCAGAUCAUGAGCCAAAUAAACCUUUUUUCUUGACAAAUU